GUAGGGAAUAUUGGGCAAUGGAUGCAAGUCUGACCCAGCCAUCCCGCGUGCCGGAAGAAGGCCCUCAGGGUUGUAAACGGCUUUUGACGGUGAAGAAUCGACAGGAUGCGUCCUGUUUUGACGGUAGCCGUUGAAUAAGCACCGGCUAACUCCGUGCCAGCAGCCGCGGUAAUACGGAGGGUGCGAGCGUUGUCCGGAUUUAUUGGGUUUAACGGGUGCGUAGGCUGGAAGGUCAGUCAGCGGUGAAAAGCUGUCGCUUAACGAUAGUCUUGCCGCAGAUACUUCCUUUCUUGGAUGAGGAGGAGGCCACUGGAACGGAUGGUGUAGCGGUGAAAUGCAUAGAUAUCAUCCAGAACACCGAUUGCGAAGGCAGGUGGCUGUACCUUAAUCGACGCUGAUGCACGAAAGCAUGGGGAGCAAACAGGAUUAGAAACCCUAGUAGUCC
rnacentral:rRNA from 1 species